AUUACAUAUUUGGUUCCCACGGUGACCACCGGAUAUGGCGUGGCCGCACAACGUCCGGGCCUCUGCAGACUUGGGGUGUGUUCCCCCACAUUGCGGUCUCAGUCUGCUGUGUCCGGUUGCCGUGGAUGGUUGGAUCAACAUCUGGGUAAAAGAACAGCCAUGAUGGGAUAUUUGGCCAACAAACUGGAGAGCACACCUGAAGGUUACCUUUGUCUUCCACCCUCUUCAUCUUUAUCCGUCUGUCUGUCAUCACAGUUAGCCGGCUACCGGGAAGGGCUGACCGGAAGUGAGAAGACAAAAUGUGGAACUACAAAGAAGUAAAAGUGGGCGAAAUAAGGUGAAGAGUCUGGAUCCAUGGAUUUGUUAAAGAUUUCUGUAUCAUUGCAAGAUAGUGCCAUGGCGUCACUGUAUCUAUGACAAGUGAGCACGAUUGUGACCCUGCUAAAAAUCCACCGCUAUGGAGUUAUCAGGACUUAUCCAUCAGAAAUGAUACAAGGAACAAUUGAUUAAAUUGUGGGGGUGUUUUUGAGUCCCAUCGAUUCCCGCCACAUAUUUAGGUCAUGCAAUUCGGUAUCCAUACAUAACGUACACAUGCAUAACACAGGCUGUGCUCAGUGCAAGGUUUUCAAUUUUUUAUUAAAGAUUUCACCUGUCGGAAAUGACACGACUCAGCAGCCUUGGUGGAGUACUGCACUCUCUGAAUGCUUUUCUUUUUAGAAAUGCAGCAUUUGUUUAUUAGUUAUUGAUGAUCAGAAAUCACAGCUACAUAAAUGUGGCCAUUUAACAUAGAAGCACCCACAAACAAGAUAAAUGUUUUGCAUUUAACCUUUUCUAUCUACAAUCAAUGUAUGAAAGAAAAAAAAACUGAAAUGGACAAAGUUAUUAUUUAUAAAUCUUGUAUACAUUCUUAAACUGUGUUUUUCAUGUUUUAUUUUUGUGAUACGCAACAUUGUCAUUAGCAAUAGGGGAUC